rnacentral:lncRNA from 1 species
CCGCCUCUGCCCUUUGACCCGGUCCACGCCACGUCAGCCAAGUGGAAGCGCCCCGCCGCGAAGCCGUUUCUCUGGACCGAAGACGUAUUCCAGAAAAUGCACGAUCAGUUUUCUUCCUCCAAGGGCCUGUUUGCUGAAAUAUUUUCACCGAUAGGUCCCUGAACUUCAACCCCUCGUAUCUCGACAACCGUAACUCCGAUUGAGGUAAAUCCAAUGCCCACGUCUUCAUCUCGUCGAGCCCGUUCCGUUCCCAUCAUUUUCACUAUGGUUUGACACUAUGAAAAUGACUACUUUGCCCUUGUCCGUAAACAGCCCCCUCCGAGAGAGAACUAUUUCCGACAAUUUUUCCGCGGUCGUUUCUCACUUCUUCCCGGAGUAUUUGUCGACCCCCAGGCAAGCCAACCUCUUAUCAUGGGCCCCAAACUUGCAUGUUGACUUUGCUUGCACCUUGUGUGUGUGUAGUUGCAGUUUUUCUUCUCGUUUUCAUUUGCACUUAUUCCGUUAUGCUUACCAUGCAUGCUUGUGUUUUCAUGCUAUUUCUUGCCAUGAUAAUUAGAAUGUUGUUAUUGAUGAUGCCAUGUCACUACUCUAAUUAUUUUCAUGUCAUCAUUAUAAAAUACUAUGAUGAUGGUAAUGCACCGUGGAUAUGUUAGUACUUGGUAUUGUCAUGUUCGUUAUGCUGUAAGUGUUCACUUGAGAAGCUCGAUGUUUUGUUAAAGCAUUUCUAUGAUGUAUGCUCAUUGUUGCAUUCAUGUUAAAAUGCUGGUAUGAUGAUUGAUGAUGGAGAAGAUAAUAAUAUGACUUAAUAAUAAUAGAACCCCUCCGUCAUCGAUGGGAUCGAGUCAUAGUGCUGCCAAAUCGAACUUUUUCCAAGUGCAACCACAUUUGCUGGUAUGGGACGACCUUAAUGCGGUCUAUUGUUGUGCCUCUAGUCGGUGCCUCCAACUAGGGAAGGUUAUGGGCACGUGCUACCCUGAUUAGGUAGGCGGAGCAUAACCUUGUGAGCCCGUUGUUAAGUUAAGUUUUGGUACCGGGUCCCAGAGUGGAUCAUGGCCACGACGGUGGUCGAGGUGUCUGGAGGUAGACACGGGGCCACCCAGGACUAGCCUAGUGGGGAGUGAGUCGGAGUGGCCGGGAGAGUGUCAUGACAAUAGAUCGGUUUCGUCGGAAUGUCAUUGGUCCACCCGAAUGGGAGUGCGAGGCCAUGGGUUCCGUAGUGUGGGUACAGUGCGCUACCUCUGCAGAGUGUAUUUAAACUAUCGAUAGCCGCGUCCUCGGUCAUGGGCAUGAGUUUGUAGUAGGGUACACUAUCGGGUCUUGGUCGAAAUGGAGGAUAAACCUGAAAUAAUUAAGCUGGUUAAUGUGGUUAAGGAUCACGGGCCAGAUGUGGUCAGGUUGUGAUCGCCGUAAGGAUCACAGGCCAGUUGUUGGUCGGGUUGUGAUCGCCGUAAGGAUCACGGGCCAGUUGUUGGUUGGGUUGUGAUCGCCGUAAGGAUCACGGGUUUGUUUCUGUUUGUAAUCAGGAUAUGAGGUGAUUACCGUUGGUAAGAGAGUCCUAGGGACUCAGUGCACAAGUUUGGUUGCAUUGCAUGAGUAAUAUGUUUGCAUGUAAAGAAUCAUGGUAGAACAUGAGAUGGCUGCAUACAGUUAACAUGCUAUGUCUGCAUUUGAUAUGAUUGGUAGUUUACUUUCAGCAGAGUUUCAUGAUGCCAUGCUUUGAUUGAUAUGAUUGAGAUGAUAUGAUAUGCUUUGUUGUUGCCAUGUUAGAAGUAAACUUGAUAUACCAUGUUGUUGCCAUGCUAGUGGAUGCCAUGAGGUUAGUUUGAUUUAUGUCUUCGGUUGAUAUUAUGCCAUGUUUAGUUCCUGAUAUGAGAUAGGUUGUUGUAGAUGCUUGGUUUUUGCUUUGUCUUCUGCUUGUUUGGAUGCUAUGUAUUUGGUUGUCAUGAAAGUACCUUCAAUGUACUAACCUGGCGUGUCAUGCCAGUUUUGUAGGUCGUUCACUUGUUCCGUCGUGCUAGGCCGUAAUCUUGCCAGUCCUGUGAGUUGUGGAGCCCAGCAAGAGUAAUAUGCUGCCAAGACUUCCGCCACCAUUUUUAUAGACUUUUGCUGCCAUGUAAAUAGCCUUAGGGCUAUGCCAAAAGAUGAUAUUCAUCACUGAUGUAAUCAUAUACACAUGUAUUUGAUGAAUAUUCCUGUACCUGGAAUGCUGUAUCAUGGACCUGUCAUGCGUCAGGUGUUAUCCUGGGCUGAUGUGCGAAGGCCCCCUGCUCCAUGCGGAUCAGGGUGCCAC